AAGGCGCGGCCCAGCGAGCUAGCAUGAGCUUCAGUUUUGUCCAGCCAGUGUUGGUGUUACCGCAACGGCUCCCGGCCACCCGACGCUGCAAGAACAACAAGUGAAGAAUACACAAGGUAAACAACUUGUCUCAUAACGUCUCAAUUAAGAAAACUGUCAAGAACUUUUUUCCCAAGACAUUAAAAUUGAGAAAAAUAAACAGGUCAGAGGAAAAUGAACGUCACUGGACACGUUUUAUGGUGAAUUAAAAAGUUUGGGUAGUGAAUUAUGUGUGAGUGUUAUGAGUAUAGUGUUGAUGUAAAGGUGUAGUGACGGUGAGAAACUACAGUGAGUGACGGUGAGGAGAAACUACAGUGAGUGACGGUGAGGAGAAACUACAGUGAGUGACGGUGAGGAGAAACUACAGUGAGUGACGGUGAGGAGAAACUACAGUGAGUGACGGUGAGGAGAAACUACAGUGAGUGACGGUGAGGAGAAACUACAGUCAGUGACGGUGAGGAGAAACUACAGUGAGUGACGGGACACUAUAGACAGUGAGUGACGGUGAAGAGAAAUUGUAGUGAUAGUGAGUGACGUCGAGUGACUACAGUGAGUGACGCUGGAGGAGGAAGUAACACUACUACUCAAAAUGGAGUUUGGCCUCGACGCUUCUACCCUCCAGCUGUGUGCCCAGGCCAAGGGCCGUGUUGCAGGGUG